rnacentral:rRNA from 1 species
AUACGUAGGGAGCAAGCGUUGUCCGGAUUUACUGGGUGUAAAGGGCGCGCAGGCGGGUUGGUAAGUCAGAGGUGAAAUCCUACAGCUUAACUGUAGAACUGCCUUUGAUACUACUAAUCUUGAGUAUGGAAGAGAGAGACGGAAUUCCAGGUGUAGUGGUGAAAUACGUAGAUAUCUGGAAGAACACCAGUUGCGAAGGCGGUCUCUUGGUCCAAUACUGACGCUGAGGCGCGAAAGCGUGGGUAGCAAACAGGAUUAGAUACCCCUGUAGUCC